GAGAGAUUGAGUGGGGCGAGCUACGUUGCUCGCCAUCCGCGUACAUCGGUUAUAAUGCUGGCGCCACCGCAUGCUACACGCCCUGUUGUUCUGGCCUUUCUGUUGCCAAGACCAAGCUGGCAGGGGUGCUGCUAGACGACCUGAGUUUGGGUGGUGACCAUGUAAAUCGGCGAUCUUGUUGGCGCCACCGCCAUGCCACACGCCCUGAUGUUUGGGCCUUUGUGCAGCCAGAACCAAGGGCAGAGAGGCACCCCUACCCUCACCUAGCUGCUGGACGACCAGAGCUUAGGUGGUGAAUGUGUUAAUGUCAAGUCAUAUGCUUCUUUUGUGGCAUCAACUCCUGAAGCUUUGGUGCAGGGUGGUGCUGCGCAAGUGGCUUAACAUCGAACCCGGGUCUGGCGGAUAUGAGACUUCAACACCGCCAAGGACGACCACCAGCAAGUUCCGCUUUACUUGCCCAUCUUGCUCUUACCACCAUCCCUUGCCAUUUCUGCACAUGGCUUGCUCUAGUUUAGAUUUAGUUUUUGUGUGGGGAUUUGAGAACAUGUCACUGUAAGCAUGGUUUUAAAGGCGUUAAGGCGUCCUAAGCGGAGGGGUGGCGCUUAGGCGACGCCUAGGCGGACGCUUUGGACACCUAGGCGCCUAAGGCAGACAUUUUUCCAAGGCGGAGGGGGUUGCUUAGGCGACGCCUUUAAAACCAUGGCUGUAAGUACGACUGCUAUGGUUCUUCUAUGCAGAUACAAAGUUAGUCCUUAGAUCAAUGAUGUAACUAAAUCAUAGUCUCCGAUGUAAUUAAUAUAGGGAUGGUGUUGACGAGAGCCAGCUUACAUGUGCUUAACAGUGUUGGAUCAAAUAAUUGAGAUGCGUUCAACACGAGUACUUCUGCAUUCAUAUGAUUUUUGGGUGAUAAUCGGUCCCCUUCCACAACUGUCUUGAUGUUAUUCUAAUUCACACAUACAUGCAAGUUCUUGGACAGAACUUGGAACCUGAAGUUCACACUGAAUGUUGUUGUGAAGAACCACCACACAAAUUGCCUCAUGCCAAACUCCUGACGAAUUCCCUCGUGUUAAUAAUU